CCUACGGGAGGCAGCAGUGGGGAAUAUUGGGCAAUGGAGGAAACUCUGACCCAGCAACGCCGCGUGAAUGAUGAAGGUCUUCGGAUUGUAAAGUUCUUUUCUAAGGGAAGAAGAAAGUGACGGUACCUUAGGAAUAAGCCUCGGCUAACUACGUGCCAGCAGCCGCGGUAAUCCGUAGGAGGCAAGCGUUAUCCGGAAUGACUGGGCGUAAAGGGAGCGUAGGCGGUUUGACAAGUUGGUAGCGUAACUCCGGGGCUCAACCUCGGCACUACUACCAAAACUGUCGGACUUGAGUGCAGGAGGGGCAAAUGGAAUUCCUAGUGUAGCGGUGGAAUGCGUAGAGAUUAGGAGGAACACCAGAGGCGAAGGCGAUUUGCUGGACAGUAACUGACACUGAGGUACGAAAGCGUGGGGAGCAAACAGGAUUAGAUACCCUUGUAGUC
rnacentral:rRNA from 1 species